GAUGAAGAACGCCAGCGAAAUGCGAUAAGUAAUGUGAAUUGCAGAAUUCAGUGAAUCAUCGAAUCUUUGAACGCACAUUGCGCCCUCUGGUAUUCCGGGGGGCAUGCCUGUUCGAGCGUCAUUAUAACCACUCAAGCUCUCGCUUGGUAUUGGGGUUCGCGGUUUCGCGGCCCCUAAAAUCAGUGGCGGUGCCUGUCGGCUCUACGCGUAGUAAUACUUCUCGCGAUUGAGUUCGAUAGGUCUACUUGCCAGUAACCCCCAAUUUUUACAGGUUGACCUCGGAUCAGGUAGGGAUACCCGCUGAACUUAAGCAUAUCAAUAAGCGGAGGA
rnacentral:misc_RNA from 1 species